rnacentral:piRNA from 1 species
AACUCUGUUCUGGCUUCAGGCUCCUUU